GCCUAGCAAAGUAUCAUGCCGCCUUUGCUCGGCGGAGGUCAGGGGUUCGAAUCCCCUCGGCUCCA
rnacentral:tRNA from 1 species